rnacentral:lncRNA from 1 species
AAGAAAUCAAAGGGAUACAGAUAGGAAAAGAAGAACUCAAAUUAGCACUAUUUGCAGAAAAUAUGAUUUUAUACCUAGAAGACCCAAAAAAAUUCCACCAGAAAACUUCUAGAACUAGUAAAUGAAUUCAGCAAAGGAUACAAAAUCAACACCCAUAAAUCAAAGGCAUUUCUGUAUAUCAGUAACAAAUCCUUUGAAAAGGAAAUGAGGAAAACUACCCCAUUAACUAUAGCCUCAAAAAAAUAAAAUACUUGAGAGUCAACUUAACAAAAGAGGUGAAAGACAAAACUACAACAAAACUACAGAACACUAAAGAAAGAAAUUAAAGUAGACCUUAGAAGAAGGAAAGAUCUACCUUGUUCUUAGAUAGGCAGAAUUAAUAUUGUCAAAAUGACCAUACUACCAAAAGCACUAUACAGAUUUAAUAUAAUUCCAAUCAAAAUCCUAAUGACAUUCCUCAUAGAAAUAGAAAAAGCAGCCAUGAAAUUCAUCUGGAAAAAUAAAGAGACCCAGAAUAGCUGAAGCAAUCCUUAUCAAGAAGAGUGAAAUGGUUGGCAUCACUAUACCAGACCUUAGAGCAACAGUAACAAAAACAGCAUGAUAUUGGCACCAAAAUAGACUUGUAGACCAAUGGUACAGAAUAGAGGACAAAGAGACUAACCCACAAAACUACAGUUAUUUUAUAUUUAGACAAAGGCACCAAAAUGCACAUUGGAGAAAAGAUAGCCUCUUCAACAAAUGGUGCUAGGAAAACUGGAAAUCCA